CUCAUCCUCUUCUUCUAAAUUCGCCUUCUCUGCAAAUUCCUUUCACUUCACUUCCCAGAACCCUAAAACCCUCACUCUUCCACUGCCCCACCUCUUCCACUACUAUAGCAAUGAAGGACCGGCCACGUUCCUCGUACGGUGCUGUUUAUGUUCCUCCACACCAACGUCUGCGCUCCGUCAUCACCCCGCCGAGUUAUAGCUCCUCCUCCGUUGCCGCUGCUUCUCCGAUUGACUCUAAAGUCUCUAAAAAUCGAAGCUCCGCUUUAAGCC
rnacentral:misc_RNA from 1 species